UACGUAGGGGGCAAGCGUUGUCCGGAAUCAUUGGGCGUAAAGCGCGUGUAGGCGGCUCGGUAAGUCCGCUCUGAAAGUCCAGGGCUCAACCCUGGGAUGCGGGUGGAUACUGCCGGGCUCGAGUCCGGAAGAGGCGAGUGGAAUUCCCGGUGUAGCGGUGAAAUGCGCAGAUAUCAGGAAGAACACCCGUGGCGAAGGCGGCUUUCUGGGGCGGUACUGACGCUGAGACGCGAAAGCGUGGGGAGCGAACAGG
rnacentral:rRNA from 1 species